rnacentral:rRNA from 1 species
GACGACCGCUGGCGGCGUGCUUAACACAUGCAAGUCGAACGGAGAGGCCCUGCUUUUGUGGGGUGCUCGAGUGGCGAACGGGUGAUUAACACGUGAGUAACCUGCCCUUGACUUUGGGAUAACUUCAGGAAACUGGGGCUAAUCCCGAAUAGGACCUCCUGCUGCAUGGGGGGGUUGGGAAAUUUCGGGGGGUGGGGGGUGGCCCGCGGGUUUUUCGCUUGUUUGGGGGGGUGGGGGUUUCCAAGGGUUUUGCGGGGGGCCGGCCUGGGGGGGUGACCGGGCACAUUGGGAAAGAGAAACGGGCCAGAAUCCUAAGGGGGGGAGCAGUGGGGAAUAUUGCAAAAUGGGGGGAAGCCUGAUGGAGGAAAGCCGCGGGCGGGAUGACGGCCUUCGGGUUGUAAACCGCUUUCGCCUGUGACGAAGCGUGAGUGACGGUAAUGGGUAAAGAAGCACCGGCUAACUACGUG